CGCUGCGGUCCGGCGCGCCGGAGCCGCCCGCGCGGACGCCGAGAGAAGAGGCGAGGCGGGGAGCUCGAGCGGCGGCCACUGCCACGUCUUCCCGGCAGUGGCGGCGGCGGCGCGGGAGGAGGAAUAACCCAAGUCACCUUUCCUGGAAAUCAGUUUGCUGAAACUAUUGAAACAGCAGUUCUUGAAGAAAAGGAGAUUCUGCACCUUGACCGGAGGAGCGUGACCCUUCCUUCAAAUCCCUCUCCGGACGCACCUUCCUAGCAUCCCCU